UUCUCUGGCUAAAAGCACUUUGCACUUAAAUGUUACAACUCUCCUCAAAACCAGUCUGACUUUUUGGAAAUAAWGUACAUGAUUGUUUGAUUGUUGAUUAUCAUUUUCUGGUGGAACUAUUAUCCAUAAAAACAUUCAUAAUGUCAUGAACAGGAAAACAACUCAAUUAAACUCACAUAAACAGAAAAAAAAAGAUAUUUACUAGAUGGGCUCAUCAGAUGAUUUCAGAAACAUAGUUGAAGACACACAAAGCCUUCAAUAAAAAAUAAAAAAAUUGUAUAAAGGUAAAUAUAGAAGUGUUUUUUUUUGUUUUGAAACAUCAUCAUGUCAUUUAUUCACCAAUGACGGACUGCGGCUUCGAAAUGCAUAUUUUGUAACCAUUUAAACCCAAAACCUUUUCAGGUCUUGCUUGACACAUUAUCUCUAGUUAUUUGACACCAAAGUGACAAUGUCCCUUUGAAAUUCAGGAACUUUAAAGAAGAUAUUUAGAAUCAGAUGAUUUUUACUUUUAUUCAAGGACACGAGUAGAACUGAGUCAUCUGGUGAAUGAAAGCCUUUUUUUUGUUCUCUUCUGACAGACACUUUCCGCUAUCUUGUUCACCCUCUUGAUUUUUAAAAAGGAAAUCAACGGGAGCCGUCUUUCACAUGAGAACAAACCGUUGAGAUAAUCCGCCAAUGAAAAUGGCCUUAUCUGCAUUUGUUAUUCUCAGGAAAUCUUAAUGAGUUGUGCAUGGGGUUAUCAGUGAAGUUCUGUAGGGCUCGGCAGAUGAAAGCAUUCUGGAGCUAAAAAAAUUAAGAAAAAUUAUUUUACAGAGAGAACGAGACGCUGUUUCAACUACAGCGGGCUUGGACUGCGUUAGACAGCUCUUUGUAAAGGUUUUCAUUUCUGGCAAAACUUYAUCUACUUUUAAAAUGUAUGGAUGUGGAAAAAAUUGAGCUAAAACUGAAUAUCUGUGAUAUUGAUCUUUUUUGUGGUGAUAGAAAAAAGGAUAGAAAACAACCCAUGUUACAAGUAGCCAUAUAAAUAUACGGACCAUGCGAUGAUUUUAAAUUGCACAUUUUGGUACGUCUUUGGAAGAAUAAAGAAAGGUGUUGUGCUGUUGGAAGAAAUAUUACAAAACACAAAAUCCAGGUAAACAAAUUUAAGAUUUUGUGGAUUUUCUCUCAUUUACAAAUGGUCAAAAUUUUAAACUACACUCAAAUUCAUAUGUCAAAACUAUCAAAAUUGUAACUAUAAUAAAGGAUUUGUUGUAAUUCUGGCUGAUUUGGUCCUCUGGGUAGAAUUUGUUGCAGUUAUUUAAAUAUAUUGGGUUAGUGUGAUAGACUCAGCUUUGAAACAUUUACAUUCCUUCAAUAGUCCGCAUAUUAAAACAAAAGCAAAGGUUUAAGGAACAGAACACUACUUUGUUGUGUUUCUGAAACCUUUUUUUUUUUUUUUUCACGUUUGGCAGGAAAGAAUAUUCUCCAGAAAUAGGCCACUAUCAUCAGGGAGUUCCUAUGAAGAACUACACAUAGAGUUUCUCCAUAAAUGGCAGGUGAUAAAGCCGAAUUGGCUAAAUGGCGGCUUUUUCUGUUGACAAGGAUCCUUUUUGUCGAGUGCAGCACUCACAGGUUUAUUUAAAAGCCGUGCUAAUAAGAGUCUAUCGCUCCGACUAUCCAUUACCUCCAGUCGGUUACAAAGAAGCUCACUGCACCAUUGUUUGAAUUUAAGUAAACAAGCCACCCUGGCAGAGGGAUGCAGGUAAAUGAGGUAAAAACACACUUGCUAAUCUGUUCUCCAAAAGGCAUUUAUUAAAAAAAGUUGUCGGAGAACCCCCGAAAAGUGCUUUCCCUUUCCAGAUACACACUUCCACAAGCACAGAAAUAAAUGCCUGCGCGUGAUCUCAUGUGCACAAUCAGAGACUUUGAGGUAGAACUGCUCAGCUCCCACAUCAUUACAGUUAUUUUCUGUGAGCACUUUGAUUGCGUUAAUUACAGUUAAUUGGCUGCCUCAUUCAGUUGAUCCAUCAUUACUGGUUAUUUGUUUGUAACUGUAUUCAAAGUUCUUUCUGAAGUUACCAUGCCGCACCGAGGUUGUCGAAUAAGAAAAAAAUAAAAUAAAACGGCAGAAAGUUUCUACAUUGAUACGGCAGCAAUGAAUCUAAACCGCAAUUUGCAAAAGUAUAAAUAUCUAUUGAACUUUUUUAUUUUAUUUUUUUUGCAAUUCAUCCCUUUGCAGCUUCAGUGUAUUUAUUUGGGAUUUUUUUUGUAACAGCCCAGCACAAACACAGAGCACAAUGAAGUUUUGGAUAGAGGUCAGAUAUGAUAGAGGUCAGAUAUGACUUAAAAUGAACUUUUGGGCAGAACAUUAUACAUGGCAAAAAACUAACUCUGCACAACAUCUCCACUGUAAAGCAGGAUGGUGGCAGCAUCAUGCUGUGAAGAAUUUUUUUUUGUUAGCAGAGAGGAAUAAGAUGGUUAGAGUGAGCUAAUUGAUAGAAAAGUUGUUAGAGGCUGCAAAAGUCUUGAGAUUGGGCCUGGAGGUUCACCUUCCAGCAGGACAACGAUCCAGCCUGAGCUUCUGUUGCCUGGUUCAGAUGAAAAUAAAUAUGUUUGAGCAUACGUUUGAAUACACUCAAAUCUAAUAAUCUGUGACAAGACUUGAAAAUUCCUCCCCAAAUUGUCCCCACCCCGACCAUUUUGGACAAUGGGCAAAGAAAUCAGACAAUUAAUAUGCAAAAUCUGUAGAGACCUGCGCCUGUAGGAGCAGUAAAAGGACGAAUCAGCAAAGGAUGGACGUACAUUUGAGUUGCAAAAAAAUUAAAAGAUUGUAUUGUCCUUCCAUUUCACAGUAACCCACUACUUUGUGUUGGUUUAUAACAUUAAAUCCCCUAAAGGCAUUGUUGCUUGUAGUUAUAAUUUGAUAAAAAAAAAGAAAAAAAAAACGUUCAAGGAGUAUAAAUAAUUUAACAAAACACUGCAUAUAAGAAUUACUGGAUUAUUGAAAGAGAAAUUUCCACAUUAACCAUGUGGCAUUAUAAAGUAAUGAAUUGGCUACAAAAAGAAAAAUGUUCCCUUUUUUCUUUUCUUGCCGUGCACUGACAUGUUUUUUUUUCCUUUUCCCUUUUUGUGCAGAAACAUUACGGUGAGCUCAGGAAGAUUACUUGCUAAAAUUUGCAAAUACUCAGCCCGUACCGUCGGUGGAAAAUCUGACUGAUGAUAAGCAGUGCAAACUCCCAAACACAUUCUUCCUCUGAGCUAACAUUUCCCCGAGGCAGAUCAGUUCAACCAACUAUAAAACUGAGCCCCAGCUCACCGAUUUCCACAUGCUGGUCCAAAUAGCAAGCAGAGAAAAAGAAGAAGAAAAAGGCUGUAUUCAACGAGGUUUUCCAUGGCGAGUCCUUGGUUGGUGUUCUCCUCAGCGUCGACCUGGGUAAGCCGCAGUCUUUUGAAAACGGGCCAUCUUCAGACGAUUGGAAGACCUCUUCCACCGGCGAAGGCGCAGACCUCCACCGACAAACACCUCCUCAUUCCGGAUGAAUGAUCUGCGCUCCUGCCUGCCUGACUCCCUCCAUCAAACCUGGCCAGCACUCAUAAUAAAUGAUAGCGCGGGACAAUGCCCUAUUUUCACGACAGAGUCAUCUGUCAUGCCAGCCCAGACAAAGCCCCAGAGUUUCAUCAUUUUCACACACUGCUUGCAGUGAAGUAACAAAAAAAGAAAAGAGAGAGGGGGUUGGGGGGAAAGAGAAAAAUCCAGCUUCAUCUGUUCAGCAAUGGCUGUGGGAUGCCUUGAAAACAUACUCGGUGUGUUUACUAAAUCAGACACAUUUUAUCUCAAGGGCUCUACAUGGAUUUAUGUGAUCUGCUUUGGUGUUCAAUCUUUCGUCUGAUGCAACUGUCCAUAUCUUAGUUUUUCUUAUUUACGAGUAAAUCUGCUCCUUUUCCUGGUCGACAUCUUAUUUCAUGGCUGUUACAUUCAGUUUCAUGCAUUAGUCAGUUAAUUAAAUCCUCAUUUAAAUAUUUUAGGGAGACGUUUGAUGCUUAGUGUCAAUUUGCGGGUCUAUCGGGUCACCUCCUCUGAUCUGCCACAGCAGAAGAGGCCCUGUGGUCUUGUAAUUGUACACUAGAGACAACCUUGACGUACGCUCUCUCAUCUCUGGCCAUUCUGUUAUAGCGGUGGACACGGCUUCUUUUUCAUAGGCAUCCAAAAUCAACAACAGGAUGUGUCCGUGAACUAGUUUUAGAUUUCAAAGCCUGUAAAUAAACUUCUGCAGAGGAAUAACAUAUCACUGUUGUGAAGGUUGAUGGGCCUUUGCAAUAAAUUUGGAAACUUAUCAGUC